rnacentral:sRNA from 1 species
ACCAUCACUGAAACAAGUAGGAUUGGAUCUAAUUCAAGAAGGAAUGUUCGAUCACCUCUUUUAGCGGAAGCUCUCGCCAUCCACGAAGCUCUCUGCCAUGCAUCGACUUUGGGUAUCCAAAACAUUGUAAUAGCGUCCGAUUCCAAGCAGUUGAUCAACGCAAUCAAUUUGGGGGAUCCUCCAUUGGAACUCCACGGGAUUCUACACGAUAUCCUGAGUUUAUCUUCUACUUUUCUGCAAUCUAGUUUUUCUUUCAUCUCUCGGAAACACAAUGGCGAAGCUGAUGAGAUUGCUAAGUGUUCUCUUAAAACGAUUGUACUGGACCCGGUUUAGUGGUUAUUUGAAUUUAAAU